rnacentral:rRNA from 1 species
AUGAACGCUAGCGACAGGCUUAACACAUGCAAGUCGAGGGGCAGCACAGGUAGCAAUACCGGGUGGCGACCGGCGCACGGGUGAGUAACGCGUAUGCAACUUACCUAUCAGAGGGGGAUAACCCGGCGAAAGUCGGACUAAUACCGCAUGAAGCAGGGGUCCCGCAUGGGGAUAUUUGCUAAAGAUUCAUCGCUGAUAGAUAGGCAUGCGUUCCAUUAGGCAGUUGGCGGGGUAACGGCCCACCAAACCGACGAUGGAUAGGGGUUCUGAGAGGAAGGUCCCCCACAUUGGUACUGAGACACGGACCAAACUCCUACGGGAGGCAGCAGUGAGGAAUAUUGGUCAAUGGCCGAGAGGCUGAACCAGCCAAGUCGCGUGAGGGAUGAAGGUUCUAUGGAUCGUAAACCUCUUUUAUAAGGGAAUAAAGUGCGGGACGUGUCCCGUUUUGUAUGUACCUUAUGAAUAAGGAUCGGCUAACUCCGUGCCAGCAGCCGCGGUAAUACGGAGGAUCCGAGCGUUAUCCGGAUUUAUUGGGUUUAAAGGGUGCGUAGGCGGCCUUUUAAGUCAGCGGUGAAAGUCUGUGGCUCAACCAUAGAAUUGCCGUUGAAACUGGGGGGCUUGAGUAUGUUUGAGGCAGGCGGAAUGCGUGGUGUAGCGGUGAAAUGCAUAGAUAUCACGCAGAACCCCGAUUGCGAAGGCAGCCUGCCAAGCCAUUACUGACGCUGAUGCACGAAAGCGUGGGGAUCAAACAGGAUUAGAUACCCUGGUAGUCCACGCAGUAAACGAUGAUCACUAGCUGUUUGCGAUACACUGUAAGCGGCACAGCGAAAGCGUUAAGUGAUCCACCUGGGGAGUACGCCGGCAACGGUGAAACUCAAAGGAAUUGACGGGGGCCCGCACAAGCGGAGGAACAUGUGGUUUAAUUCGAUGAUACGCGAGAAACCUUACCCGGGUUUGAACGCAUUCGGACCGAGGUGGAAACACCUUUUCUAGCAAUAGCCGUUUGCGAGGUGCUGCAUGGUUGUCGUCAGCUCGUGCCGUGAGGUGUCGGCUUAAGUGCCAUAACGAGCGCAACCCUUGCCACUAGUUACUAACAGGUAAAGCUGAGGACUCUGGUGGGACUGCCAGCGUAAGCUGCGAGGAAGGCGGGGAUGACGUCAAAUCAGCACGGCCCUUACAUCCGGGGCGACACACGUGUUACAAUGGCGUGGACAAAGGGAAGCCACCUGGCGACAGGGAGCGAAUCCCCAAACCACGUCUCAGUUCGGAUCGGAGUCUGCAACCCGACUCCGUGAAGCUGGAUUCGCUAGUAAUCGCGCAUCAGCCAUGGCGCGGUGAAUACGUUCCCGGGCCUUGUACACACCGCCCGUCAAGCCAUGGGAGCCGGGGGUACCUGAAGUCCGUAACCGCGAGGAUCGGCCUAGGGUAAAACUGGUGACUGGGGCU